CUUAUUCACAUAAAUAUUAAUCAAAUUUACAACUAUUCAUUCAUCUCCCUUUGUUUAUUCGCUCUUUACUCGCUCUGCAACCAAAACUCAUAGCCAUCUGGGUUUCUCAAAUCAUCGGCCGACGGGAUUGAUUCUGUAUCAUCGUCGGCUACUUCUCUGAUGACGGCCACUUCUCCGACGACCUUUAUUGCUCCAGCGACAACUACCACUUUGACGAAAGCGCUUUCAUUCCUAAUUCCUCAACGCACCACAAUAUCUCUGUCUUCUUAAUCCUAAUAUAGGUUGUUUUUGUUCUCGCUGCUGCUUUUUUGCUAGGAGCAAGUUUAUUAAAAAUAAUUUGCAGAGAGGCCACAUAAAGACAGAGAGCAUAAUUGGAUUAGCGAGGAUGCCCAAGAAAAGCAUGUAAGUCAAUAAUGAUUUAUAUUAGUAUUGCACCCAAAUUGAUAGA